AUGGGCCUGGCUGCGGCCCCGCAGAUGUCCUCAGCAAGGGUCUUACCGGGGGCCCGGCAAGGGUCUUGCCGUGGCACCACGGUUGUCCCCGAUAAGGAUCUUGCCGGGGGUCUCGUGGAUUUCCUUGGCAAGGACCUCGCCAAGGAUCGUCGUCUUCUGGUUCUCAUCUGCUCUUGUGUAUUUAUGAUCUCCACAAAGAUCUGCAUGCCACCAUGGAGGUGCCUCCUGAGCCUUGGUUUUGAUGUGGCUGAUGACAUCGGAAACCCUUGGGCUCAAGGGUGGCGCGCUCUGCUGGCGUCAGGCAAGUUGCCCCGGCAAGGAUCUUGUCGGGGCUGCGGAAGCCACCCCGGCAAGAGUCUUGCCGGGGGAGUCCACCUCACCCUCUUGCUCUCUUUGCGCCCCUGGUCUUGUCAUUGCUCUGGCUAUCUUGCGCUCUGGCAUCCCUCCUCUGCCCUUCUCAGUGUGGCCGUGGGCGCGGCGCUGACUGCCCAUGCACAAGGGGUGCAAAAGGAGAGCCCCUACUUGUGUAAACCGACAGGAGCCCCUCGGGCCUGGGCCACACAUAAGCGCGACGUGUUGUUGGGCUAG
rnacentral:rRNA from 1 species